UACGAGUGCCUCAAGCGUUAUCCGGAAUCAUUGGGCGUAAAGGGUGUGUAGGUGGUUUUGUUAGUCUCGCGUAAAAUGCUUCGGCUCAACCGAAGUUCCGCGCGGGAAACGGCAAGACUUGAGGACGGUAGAGGUCUCUGGAACUCAUAGUGUAGCGGUGAAAUGCGUUGAUAUUAUGGGGAACACCAAAAGCGAAGGCAAGAGACUGGACCGCUCCUGACACUGAAACACGAAAGCGUGGGUCGCGAAUGGG
rnacentral:rRNA from 1 species